rnacentral:sRNA from 1 species
UGUACCAAUAAAAUGUCCCAAAACCAAUGGGACUGAUUACAUCCUUGGGACCUGGACAUUGCGUGAUGCAGUUCAUCAUAUUCCAACAAUCUACUUUUAUCCAGCACAUGAGGGAGGCAGAAGACGAAGGCCAAGUGAAUAUUUUAUUGUGAUACAUUUUGUCUCAAACACCACCAUCCUAUUUGAAGCCAAGUUUAUUGACCAUAGAAAUAUCUUCCAGAAUCUUUCAGGAGUACUGGCAACUGGAACAAACAUCACUGAAGAAAUGUGGGAAAUAUAUGUGAAGCUGACUAAGCAAGUCAGAAUUCCCACAGAAAAUAUUGAAAAUGUGUAUG